GGAUUCAGGAGUGGAGCUGCUGAGAGAUCUUCUGGAGAGUCCAGACUGCAGACUGGAGACCCUCAGGAUCGAUAAUGAGACGAUCAGAGCCACGAUCCAGAAGACCUGUGAGUACUGAAACCAUGUCCUCCAUUCAUCAAGAUCCAGAAGACCUGUGACAGGAAGUGAAGACACACAGAAAGGUCCCAGAGGGUUACCCGUUGACCCGUGUCCAUCUCAAAAUGGUCCGCAGGCAUCCCAUAAUCCUGCGUUUGGAUGGAGACGUUCUCCGUGUAGUCAGAGCACUGGGUUUUCUUGGAGAUGCUCUCAAAGUCUUUGAGGACAAAGUCAGAAAAAGCCAAGAAGAAGAAAUGUGUUGAGCUCUUCUUCGUGUUCAUCACCCCGGGUUCAUUUAACCUGUUAAGCCCCAAACCUGUUUUUCAGGCCUCAGGCUCGAAAAUGACAUUCCCAGAACAAAUGACGAUAUCUUUAAAUUAAUAAUCUUUUUUCUCAAAGCAAUGAUAAACCUGUGAGUUGGAUGUGGAAAAGUCAGAAUCAAUAUAGAUGUUUUAAAGUAAAUUCAGAUUGAACUUAUUAAAAACAUGUAAAUUAUUGUGUCCG